CCUACGUGAGGCUGCAGUGGGGAAUAUUGCACAAUGGGGGAAACCCUGAUGCAGCGACGCCGCGUGAGUGAAGAAGGAAUUCGUUAUGGAAAGCUCUAUCAGCAGGGAAGAAAAUGACGGUACCUGAGUAAGAAGCCCCGGCUAACUACGUGCCGGCAGCCGCGGUAAUACGUAGGGGGCAAGCGUUAUCCGGAUUUACUGGGUGUAAAGGGAGCGUAGACGGCAGUGCAAGUCGGGAGUGAAAGGCGGGGGCUCAACCCCCGGACUGCUGUGGAAACUGUACGGCUGGAGUGCAGGAGCGGUAAGUGGAAUUCCUAGUGUAGCGGUGAAAUGCGUAGAUAUUAGGCGGAACACCAGUGGCGAAGGCGGCUUACUGGACUGUAACUGACGUUGAGGCUCGAAAGCGUGGGGAGCAAACAGGAUUAGAUACCCCAGUAGUC
rnacentral:rRNA from 1 species